rnacentral:misc_RNA from 1 species
GAUGAAGAACGUAGCGAAAUGCGAUAAGUAAUGCGAAUUGCAGAAUUCAGUGAAUCAUCGAAUCUUUGAACGCACAUUGCGCCCGCUAGUAUUCUGGCGGGCAUGCCUGUCUGAGCGUCAUUUCAACCCUCGCCCCCGGCUUUUGCUGGGAGCGGUGUUGGGGAUCGGCCGCCCGUCACUGGGAGGUCGGCCCCGAAAUAGAGUGGCGACCACGCCGUGUGCUCCUCUGCGUAGUAGUAAAUCACCUCGCAGGCGGACAGCGGUGCGGCCUGCCGUAAAACCCCCAACUCUUUCUGGUUGACCUCAGAUCAGGUAGGAAUACCCGCUGAACUUAAGCAUAUCAAUAAGCGGAGGA